rnacentral:rRNA from 1 species
UACGGAGGGUCCGAGCGUUAUCCGGAAUCAUUGGGUUUAAAGGGUCCGCAGGCGGUCAAUUAAGUCAGAGGUGAAAUCACAUACUCAACUAUGGAACUGCCUUUGAUACUGGUUGACUUGAGUCAUUGAGAUAGAUAGAAUGUGUAGUGUAGCGGUGAAAUGCAUAGAUAUUACACAGAAUACCGAUUGCGAAGGCAGUCUACUACGAUAUACUGACGCUGAGGGACGAAAGCGUGGGGAGCGAACAGGA